UACGGGGGGGGCAAGCGUUGUUCGGAAUUACUGGGCGUAAAGGCUCGUAGGCGGCCAACUAAGUCAGACGUGAAAUCCCUCGGCUUAACCGGGGAACUGCAUCUGAUACUGGAUGGCUCGAGUUUGGGAGAGGGAUGCGGAAUUCCAGGUGUAGCGGUGAAAUGCGUAGAUAUCCACAGGAACUCCGGUGGCGAAGGCGGCACGCUGGACCUUUUCUGACGCUGAGGCGCGAAAGCCAGGGGAGCGAACGGG
rnacentral:rRNA from 1 species